rnacentral:rRNA from 1 species
UACGUAGGUGGCAAGCGUUGUCCGGAUUUACUGGGCGUAAAGAGCGCGCAGGCGGUCGAUUUAGUCGCGUGUGAAAGCCCCCGGCUCAACUGGGGAGGGUCACGCGAUACUGAUCGACUCGAAGGCAGGAGAGGGAAGUGGAAUUCCCGGUGUAGUGGUGAAAUGCGUAGAUAUCGGGAGGAACACCAGUGGCGAAGGCGACUUCCUGGCCUGUUCUUGACGCUGAGGCGCGAAAGCUAGGGGAGCAAACGGG